rnacentral:rRNA from 1 species
GUGGGGAAUCUUCCGCAAUGGACGAAAGUCUGACGGAGCAACGCCGCGUGAGUGAUGAAGGUCUUCGGAUUGUAAAGCUCUGUUAAUCGGGACGAAAGAGCCUAGUGUGAAUAAUGCUAGGAAGUGACGGUACCGGAAUAGAAAGCCACGGCUAACUACGUGCCAGCAGCCGCGGUAAUACGUAGGUGGCAAGCGUUGUCCGGAAUUAUUGGGCGUAAAGCGCGCGCAGGCGGAUCUGCCAGUCUGUCUUAAAAGUUCGGGGCUUAACCCCGUGAUGGGAUGGAAACUACAGGUCUAGAGUAUCGGAGAGGAAAGUGGAAUUCCUAGUGUAGCGGUGAAAUGCGUAGAUAUUAGGAAGAACACCAGUGGCGAAGGCGACUUUCUGGACGAAAACUGACGCUGAGGCGCGAAAGCCAGGGGAGCGAACGGGAUUAGAAACCCGUGUAGUCC